rnacentral:rRNA from 1 species
GAUGAACGCUUGCGGCGUGCCUAAUACAUGCAAGUCGAGCGAACAGAUGAGGAGCUUGCUCCUCUGACGUUAGCGGCGGACGGGUGAGUAACACGUGGAUAACCUACCUAUAAGACUGGGAUAACUUCGGGAAACCGGAGCUAAUACCGGAUAAUAUAUUGAACCGCAUGGUUCAAUAGUGAAAGACGGUUUUGCUGUCACUUAUAGAUGGAUCCGCGCCGCAUUAGCUAGUUGGUAAGGUAACGGCUUACCAAGGCGACGAUGCGUAGCCGACCUGAGAGGGUGAUCGGCCACACUGGAACUGAGACACGGUCCAGACUCCUACGGGAGGCAGCAGUAGGGAAUCUUCCGCAAUGGGCGAAAGCCUGACGGAGCAACGCCGCGUGAGUGAUGAAGGUCUUCGGAUCGUAAAACUCUGUUAUUAGGGAAGAACAAAUGUGUAAGUAACUAUGCACGUCUUGACGGUACCUAAUCAGAAAGCCACGGCUAACUACGUG